rfam:Salmo salar isolate Sally breed double haploid chromosome ssa10, whole genome shotgun sequence.
GUGGGCUAUGGGGACAUGGUGCCUGUCACUAUAGGGGGUAAGAUAGUGGGUUCCCUUUGCGCCAUAGCUGGUGUGUUGACGAUUGCGCUCCCAGUGCCUGUCAUUGUGUCCAAC